rnacentral:misc_RNA from 1 species
AAGUCGUAACAAGGUAACCGUAGGUGAACCUGCGGUUGGAUCAUUAACAAAACUAGUCUUUGAGACUAAUACAAGGGCUUCGGCCUGAGUUGAACACCUGUGAAGCUAUAUGUCUUUGGCGAGUUUAACGCUCGUCAACAGUAUUUACCCUACUUUAAUAAUGACUGAAUCAAGAAUCUAAUUAAAAAACAACUUUUAACAACGGAUCUCUUGGCUCUC